AUGACACGCAUAAAGGAUUAUGAUCUCGACGCUCUGAAAUGGCGUCUAUUUCCUUUCUCUUUGAGAGGAAAAGCUAGAGAAUGGCUUAUAGCAUUACCUAAGGGCAGUAUUACUUCUUGGGAAGAUUGUUGCAUUAAACUUUUAUCUAAGUUUUAUCCACCUACAAAUAUUAUGCAAUUACGUUCUCAGAUUACAGGGUUCAAGCAAGAGGGACUUGAUCCACUAGCACUUGUGCGGGAUAGAAUGAAGGAAGUUAUAAGAAACGGUCCCAAUCAUGGAAUGGAGGAAUGGUUAAUCCAUCAUAUGUUUUAUAAUGGCUUAAAUCAUAUGUCAAAAACUAUGCUUGAUACAGCUGCAGGAGGAACAAUCAUGGGAAAGCCUAUAAAAGAUGUCAAGAGACUACUAGAUGAUAUGCAAGAGAACCAUGCCCAAUGGCAUGUUGAAAGAACCACCACCAAAAGGGUGAAUGCCAUGGAAUAA
rnacentral:rRNA from 1 species